CUACCAUGCAGUCGAGCGGUAGAGAGAAGCUUGCUUCUCUUGAGAGCGGCGGACGGGUGAGUAAUGCCUAGGAAUCUGCCUGGUAGUGGGGGAUAACGUUCGGAAACGGACGCUAAUACCGCAUACGUCCUACGGGAGAAAGCAGGGGACCUUCGGGCCUUGCGCUAUCAGAUGAGCCUAGGUCGGAUUAGCUAGUUGGUGGGGUAAUGGCUCACCAAGGCGACGAUCCGUAACUGGUCUGAGAGGAUGAUCAGUCACACUGGAACUGAGACACGGUCCAGACUCCUACGGGAGGCAGCAGUGGGGAAUAUUGGACAAUGGGCGAAAGCCUGAUCCAGCCAUGCCGCGUGUGUGAAGAAGGUCUUCGGAUUGUAAAGCACUUUAAGUUGGGAGGAAGGGCAGUAAAUUAAUACUUUGCUGUUUUGACGUUACCGACAGAAUAAGCACCGGCUAACUCUGUGCCAGCAGCCGCGGUAAUACAGAGGGUGCAAGCGUUAAUCGGAAUUACUGGGCGUAAAGCGCGCGUAGGUGGUUAGUUAAGUUGGAUGUGAAAUCCCCGGGCUCAACCUGGGAACUGCAUUCAAAACUGACUGACUAGAGUAUGGUAGAGGGUGGUGGAAUUUCCUGUGUAGCGGUGAAAUGCGUAGAUAUAGGAAGGACACCAGUGGCGAACGCGACCACCUGGACUGAUACUGACACUGAGGUGCGAAAGCG
rnacentral:rRNA from 1 species